rnacentral:rRNA from 1 species
UACGGAGGAGGCAAGCGUUACCCGGAAUCACUGGGCGUAAAGGGUACGUAGGCGGCUUAGCAAGUCUGGGGUGAAAGGCCACAGCUCAACUCUGGGAGGGCCCUGGAAACUGACAGGCUAGAGUGCGGGAGGGGAUGCGGGAAUUCCCGGUGUAGCGGUGAAAUGCGUAGAGAUCGGGAAGAACACCUGAGGCGGAGGCGCGCAACUGGGCGGCAACUGACGCUGAGGCGCGAAAGCGAGGGGAGCGAAUGGG